rnacentral:lncRNA from 1 species
UUCUCCCUUGUUUCGUUUCAUUACCAUCUUCUUAGAGUACAUAAUCCACAACUACGAGAUUUAUGAAAAUAAAAAAAAAAACUUAAAUUAUUGGGGGCAACACAAUAACAAAAUGAGAUAUCCUAUAGUUUUCUAGAAAAAUCUUAUGGUCACAUCACUUGAUCACAUUCGCAUAUGCCAACAAAGGCAUUGAAAAAAAAUCCUAACAUAGUACACUUCGGUUUAAGAUGAGACAAGCAUCCAAUUGACUGACAAUCAGAAUCUUGGGUACAAUUAAUAACAUCCGCUAUAAUGAAAAAAAAACAAAAAUAUGUUACUAAAAUGAGAUAAAAUAUUAUGUAAAAAGUAACUGAAAAUUUAAAAAGGAUUAAAAAAUUGAUUACCGUUAACGUUCAUUGCAACAAGAACUAGGGCAAG